UGGGGAAUCUUGCACAAUGGGGGCAACCCUGAUGCAGCGACGCCGCGUGAGCGAUGAAGCCCUUCGGGGCGUAAAGCUCUUUCGACCGGAACGAUAAUGACGGUACCGGGAGAAGAAGCUGCGGCUAACUACGUGCCAGCAGCCGCGGUAAUACGUAGGCAGCAAGCGUUGUUCGGAGUUACUGGGCGUAAAGAGUGCGCAGGCGGUUUUCUAAGUUCGGUGUGAAAUCUCCCGGCUUAACUGGGAGGGUGCGCCGAAGACUGGGACGCUGGAGUGUGGGAAAGGCAGGCGGAAUUCCUGGUGUAGCGGUGAAAUGCGUAGAUAUCAGGAGGAACACCGGCGGUGUAGACGGCUUGCUAGACCAUAACUGACGCUGAGGCACGAAAGCGUGGGUAGCAAACA
rnacentral:rRNA from 1 species